UACGGGGGGGGCAAGCGUUGUUCGGAAUUACUGGGCGUAAAGGGCUCGUAGGCGGCCAACUAAGUCGGACGUGAAAUCCCUCGGCUUAACCGGGGAACUGCGUCCGAUACUGGAUGGCUUGAGUUCGGGAGAGGGAUGCGGAAUUCCAGGUGUAGCGGUGAAAUGCGUAGAUAUCUGGAGGAACACCGGUGGCGAAGGCGGCAUCCUGGACCGACACUGACGCUGAUGCGCGAAAGCGUGGGGAGCAAACGGG
rnacentral:rRNA from 1 species